CACAGACACACACACACACUGACACACACUAAAACACACACCGACACUGUGACUGACUCACAGGGCGGCUGCUGUGGCAGAACCGGUGCUGCUGAUUGGCUGAGCAACACCUACAUCCAGAGCCUGAACCUGACGAGUCCAGACGUGCUUCCGUGUUCCUGCUUUCACUCGUUUCAGCGCAGCGUCAACUCUUCCUGGUGCUCCGAGCUGCUGAACCUCACUCUGAUUGGCCAAGGGAGCGGCACGAGCUCGCUCCUGAGGGGGCGCCGGCGGCUCUAAACCUGCUGUGUUUCAUAUCGCUGGUGUGAUGUGAUGUUUUACCCAUGAUGCUGCUGGGUUUGUGGUUUUCAGGGCUGCAGUCAGACGUUCAGUGAUUGGCUGCAGGAGAACUCCCUGACCAUCAUCGCCAUGGACGUCGCCCUGCAGUUACUGCAGGUGGCGCUGUUCGUCAUGGCGGUGUAUCUGUACCGUGCAUUUGGAGAAGGCCGCGCUCUGAAACGGACCGAUCUGCUGGCUGGCAGAGACCACGCCCCCACCGAUGACCUGGGGGAGCUGAACUACGCCUACAAUGACCAGGGUGUGUCGUGUCCUCACAGGGUAUACCCCGCCUCUCACCCAAAGCUAGCUAGGCUAGGCUCCAGCCCCCCGUGACCCUCCACUGCAG
rnacentral:lncRNA from 1 species